rnacentral:lncRNA from 1 species
GACUCUGCUGCGCAAAUCAAGACCAAAAAAACGAAAAACCUUCCUUCAGUGCCAGUGACUAUUCUACAGCCAGUGUUAAUGCCUCCAAAGGACACCGUGAUCACCAUUAAACUAUGAUAGUUUGAGUAAUGUGAACGGCGUACAAAGACUGAGAAUUAAACAAAACUGAUGAGGUUUUAGCGGGGAAAAAAAUGUAGAAACGUUGUAAACAUAUAAUUGCCUGCCAGUAUAUAUUUUAAGCACAAAAUAUGAAAAGCGUUAUGAAGAGGUUUCUGUUAGCGAAGGCUUUGAUUUUGACAGCGCAUUUUCUAUCCAUUUGGUUGGUUUCCAUCCAACCAUAGUUUAUAUUAUUUCUUUUGCAAUGGUCAUAUGGAAAAAUGGUUUUAGUUAUUGCUAGCAUGGUUCGAUUUUGUUCGUUUACGGUUACAUCGUCAGUCGAGUCAGAGGGUGCCAUUACUGUCGAAACGUACGUCCAUGAUCAAUUGGUCUGUAUAGCACAUAUGUUGAAUUAUAUUUCAUUAUAUUUUUUAAUUUAGGACUUGCAAUACCAGAAGUGAAUGCUGCACCACUUUUAGAGACAAUUUUGUUAUUAUGUGGGUUUCGAAACGGGUAAACAAGCUGGCAAAAAGCUUAUACAACAGUUCACCAUGCUUCGGGCCAAUUAAGUAUAUAUAAAAGUAAAAAAAAAACACAUUUAUAUUACAUAGGGAAAAAGUCAUACGAAUUUUAACGAACGGAUUGUCAUCUGAGUGCACUCCAAUAUUCGAAGCUUGUGGACGAAAUAAAGAAACACCACAACGUUUCGUCAGAGUCCUGUCAAGCCAAUGCAAACGAAGAACUACUGAAUAAAAAAAAGGCCGUGCAGUGAACGCUUGUCCGUAAAUAUUAAUAGAUUCUAACACCGAUGUCAAGAUGGGACCUAUGACGUGUUUAUAGCAGUGACCGACUAACAAAUCCAGUCACAAUUCUUUGGCCCGCGUAGCAGUCGCGGCGCAAAACAAAUGCGACCUUCUAAUCAAAAGUUAUUUGCUUCAGGCACAUUUUUAAUUGUGUAUGAUAGCACCAUUAUCAAGUACCUAUACACAGAUAUUGUUGGCGCCAGGAUGUGAUUGCGUCACUUGUGGCAGCGAUUUCAACGUAAUUACCUUAAUGAGUCACGUUUGAAUGACGCGCUUACUCGCUAAGGCGUAGUUCGUCCACGUAUGGACAAACAAACGAAUCGCUCUUUGUCAGUUAUUAAGAGCGACGUUUGCUUCAACGGCACACGCAGUGACAAAAUUAAGUAUAAGAGUUUUCGGCGUCAAUACCCUUUUUAUUACACUGAUAAUUUUGGCAGGUGGAAGCGAAGCGUAACUCUCUGAGACUCUAUCAAAUCCACCGACGGUCAGAACGACAUUAUAUUUCAUUGAGGAAGAUUUUUCACUUAUUUGAGCAAGGUACUCGUAGGAAACACAGUUACAAAAGCUCUGAACUGUCAACAAACUUGCAGAAACGGUGAUGUUUGGGUUGAGUGACAGAAAGUGUCGGCAAGCUUUCGACAUACUUACUGAUCUUCUAUCAUAUAUCAUCAUUACGAAUACAAACUAGAGGAAG